rnacentral:rRNA from 1 species
GACAGAGGGUGCAAACGUUGUUCGGAAUUAUUGGGCGUAAAGGGCGCGUAGGCGGCUUGAUGUGUCAAAGGUGAAAUCCCUCGGCUCAACUGAGGAACUGCCUUUGAAACUGUCUGGCUUGAGGCCGGGAGAGGGUAGCGGAAUUCCCAGUGUAGCGGUGAAAUGCGUAGAUACUGGGAGGAACACCGGUGGCGAAGGCGGCUACCUGGACCGGUUCUGACGCUGAUGCGCGAAAGCGUGGGUAGCAAACAGG